AUUCAAAAAUUACAUGCUAUCGUUUGAAUUGAGACAUACGGAUCAUUGUAAUUUUAGUAAAGAACAAGUAUUAUUUAAAAGAAACUUUGAAAAAUACAAUGUUUUAGAAUAAAAAUACAUGUCAACAAAAGUAAACGGCGGUGGUGAUGAAUACGGAAGAGGCGGUGGUGUUAUGGAUAUGGUGGUGAAUACGGAGGCGGUAGUGUUUACAGAUCUAAUAAUACUAAAUACGGAGGAGGCGGUGGUGUUACGGAUCUAGUGGUGGUUAUUGUUGUAAGGGAAGAGGAGGUUAUGAAAGCUUUAGUGGUAAAACUAUUUGCCUAUAAAGCUAUUUGUCCCCCUCAACCAAAAUCCUAUUAUAGAAAUAUUAGAGUAAUUUAAAGUUGGUUUCCGACAAGUACUAUACGCCUAUGGUUAGUUUAUAUAAUAUUAUGGAUUUUAUGGUCAUCUAGUGCAUAUACCCUUUUAAUUAUUCGAUUACAUUCUUCACUUCUUCCUUUUUUUU
rnacentral:sRNA from 1 species